rnacentral:lncRNA from 1 species
GUAAAGAUUAAAUGAGAUUAUGUAUGUAAAACACAUAAAGAAUAUGAAACUCACUCACCCUUAGCUCAGAAAGGGGGUAUUUUUAUACUGCAUGGCAUACUUAAUUGGUAUUUUUCCUGCACUCUCUCUUUUUUCUUCUUCUUCUCCCCAAAGCCCCCGAGUGUGUAGCUGUAUAUUCUAGUUGUAGGAUCCUGCAUUCUUUCCCUGUGCUUUCUCUGUUGCAUAUAUUUCUCCGAAAAGCAUCACUGUGAAGGGUGAGGCAGAAGACGUGGUCAUGGAGAGAGUAUCCACAUGUACCUGGCAUUGUGGGAGCUUAAUUCAUUUCACCAAGUAUAUCUCACCUCAUCUUCAUAAUAUGUCUGUGAGGCAUGGAGUUACUGCCAUUUUGCAGGUAAGGAAACUGAGGCUAAGAGAGUAGCAGAUGUUUUGCUACGUUGACAAGAUAGCGGGCCAUAGUGCCCUGAGCCGUAAGCCAACACUUUGUUCUGUCUGUCACCGGGCUCCGUUUUUCCUCUCUUGAGGGUCUGCUGUUUUCCAUCCUUCAGCUCAGAUUGUCUCCUGCAGGCCUGACGUCAUGUGUUUUGGUGGAGCAGUAGAUGUACGUGGAACUGAUUUCGGAAGACAGCCGCCAAGCUCCCAGUUCCCCUGUUAGCCUGUUACGCAAACUUUGCAGUCAGCAUUUUCUGUUCCAAAUCGAAUCACUAAUCACUAUCAUCUAUAUAAUGUGAUUGUCAUUAAAAUCCCUUCUCGGGUAUGAUUUUCUCACAUUUCCGAGUUUCUCUCUGAUUCGGAGUUAUUCCAAGUGAUAUUUAUGAGAACUAUCACUGUAAGUAACAGUUUUUGAAAAUUAAGAUGUGAGGGAAAUUAGCCAUCUUUAAACAAUUAAUUGUGAAUCAAUGGGAUUCAUUUUAGUUUUCAACUUAUGAACAGUAGUCUUUUAUUAUUGAAAAUGUCUCCCUUCACUCUAUAGGAAUCAAUUGGAUAUUUUCGUAAAUAUUUAAACUCAUACUUUUUAAAAAUGAAAAAUAGCAUAAUUUUUAAGACAGAUGCCAAAGCUUUGCCUUGACACCAGCUGCUUGUGACGCUUGUUAAUCUAAAAAUUAAAGAAGCAGUUGAGUUUAAUUUUGAUCAAUUACCAGGUAGUAGGCACCUUGAGUAACGUCACAUGCCGUCAUGUGCUCUAAGGUGGGGUUGUUCUAAGUUCUUGGAAUGUAAGUUAUUGGGCAAGACGGCCACGUGCCGGGGUUUGGAAGGAGUUACUCUCCCUCGCGCGUGACUCUGUGUGUGGGAUGUUUAGGCUGGUCGGAAAGCCCACUUGUUUUGGUAGUUUUGGGGGUAAGGACUGAUUCUGGUGACAUACCCUUCUCUUCCCUUAUAGUCAGGACGAAUGGUCUGUGACAACAUACAGUCUAAUGAAUGAGACAAGCCUAGUGCUUUGAUUGUGGUACCAUAAAAAUGAUUGAUGACAGCAGUUCAUUCUUUUACUCAGCAAAGGUUUUAUUUUAAAAGAAUUGUACUUUUUAGGAUUAAACAUGUGGUUUUGGGUGGCCUUCAGACCACAAAUUUAUUUUCAUUUUUGAUAUGUUUCAAAAAUUGUAGACACUCAUCAAAAGAAAUCAGUAGAUAUUUAUAGUCAUGAAAAGCUUAACACAAUAUAUUAUUUAUUGCGGAAACCCCCAGAUAUAAUAUAUGUGUGUAAACAGUUCAUGUACAUAAAUGUAAAAGAUAUGUAAGAAAGUUUAGAAGAAUUAAAAGUUUAUAUUUACUUUAAACGUUUCUUAAUUCCCACAGCAACCCUCAGGCAUCAUAAAAAGUCAGAAAAGAUUUCUAACUGGCAUCAUUAUAAAAUAAGUUCUGGUAGACUGUUUGUAUUUGAGGAUAGAGUUAAAAAAAAAAACCCAAAUACACAACUUACGUGCUAAGUCAGUAUGUAGCGCUAAACAUCAGAAUGAUGAAAAACCUGACUUCAUUAGGGUAUUCUAGUGUUUCUAGAUAUUUCGUAUUAUUUGGGUAAUGGGGUUUGCCCUUUAUUGGGAACUCCCAUCCCUCUAGCUGACUUUUUUAAAGACACCCAGAGUGGCUUAGAAAUGUGAUGUACCACAUGGUGACUACAGUUAACAAUGCUGUAUUGUAUAUUUGAAAAUUGCUAAAAGAGUAGAUCUUAAAGUUCUCAUCACAAGAAAAAAAAUUUUUUAACUGUGUAUAGUGACAGAUGUUAACUAGGCUUGUUGUGCUGAUCAUUUUGCAGCGUAUACAGAUAUCGAAUCAUUAUGUUGUACACCUGGAACUAAUAUAAUGUCAUAUGUCACUUGUACCUCAACAAUGGAAAAAAAGUUCAAAAAAAGGAAAGAAGUGUACUUUUCAGGACCUAUAACAUUGUAACCAUUUCUUCACAUGUGAAGUCUGGAGAAGAAAGAUAAAGUGGUUGGCUUGGGGAGCCUUCUGUAAUGCUGUAAUUUAGAACAAAGUCACGGGUUUUUAGAAGGCAGUGACUUUUUAAAAGAGAAAAGCACAUUGUAUCUUGGUACGAUUAUUUGUGAUGUAACUCGGAUUGUAAUUUUAUCUGGAAAAUAAAUGUUUGAUAGUAAAUGAUGGGAUAUCAAGAACCAGUUUUUGCAUUUUUAGUUUGUUUACACAGAAAGUACCAUUUGAUUGUUGUCUUUUUUGAGGAAGAUUAGCCCUGAGCUAACAUCUGCUGCCAAUCUUCCUCUUUUUGCUGAGGAAGACUGGCCCUGAGCUAACAUCCGUGCCCAUCUUCCUCUAUCUUAUAUGUGGGACAUCUACCACAGCAUGGCUUGACAAGCUGCACAUAGAUCCACACCUGGGAUCCAAACUGGCAAAGCCUGGGCUGCUGAAGUGGAAUGUGCAAACUUAACUGCUGCACCACCAGGCUGGCCCUGACCAUUUUAUUAUUUUUUUUCCUGAGGAAGAUUGGCCCUGGGCUAACAUCUGUGCCAAUCUUCCUCUCUUUUGUAUGUGAGCUGUCCCCACAGCGUGGCCACCGACGAGUGGUAUAGGUCCGUGCCCAGGAACCGAACCUGGGCCACUGAAGCAGAGCACACUGAGUUUAACCACUAGGCUAUGGGGCCAGCCCCUGAUCAACUUGUUAAUUUGUGUAAUAUUGUGUUUUUUUUGAGGAAUCUGUUGACUUUUCUGUUUUGUUUAUAUGCUCGUUUUGGCCGUUUAAAAAUAUCUGCCUAUCUAUAUACAUAUAAAAUAUCAUAUAUAAUCUAUAGUGAUUAAUUAUGACAUGUCAUGCUUUUGACCAUCCUCUGUUUUUGACAUAACCAGCACAGACGUUUUAUUGGCUAGAUAUCUUUUAAAAAGUAUGUUUCCUCUCAACAUACGAGUAGAAAAGGAGGUAGAAUGGUGCAGAGGAAUGCUAGAAAAGAGUAAUCUUUUGUGUCUUAAGAUUGAAAGCACAUUUCUUUCCUGUGAUUUUGUUGUAACCGUCAUCCUCGUGGCCCAGACUGAACAGAAUAAUCUCAUGGCUGCUGUGUCACAGAAUGUCCCUCAUCUCUGGGUGUCCUCAAAGCCGUUCGCACAUGGGACCGACCACAUGCGUGCCACUUGGUGUCUUGUGUGCUCUGAGCUUGCAAGCAGGGAGAGGGUCUCACUCACCCUGGGGCCCUGCGCCUGGCCCUGGACCUGGGCCGUAAUGAGCUUUGGGCCUCUCCUUCACUUCACUCACUGCGAGUUCUGUGCUGAGCCAAACUGCCUGCCCCAUGCAUGGCCCAUCCGAGGGGCUACCUAGGACGAGGGCUGCCGUCUGUGGCCAGGGCAAAGGGAUUGUUCUCUGGGUGAAAGAAUUAUUAGAGAUAAAAACCAGUGACUCAGCGUCUUGAGCGUGAAUAACUGGUGGCAUUUACCACCCUAGAGGGACAUGGUGGAUCCAUGCUAAGUGGUCCGUUUGGAAAUGAAGUUGUGGCGUUUCUUUGUUUCUUUUACUGGAAACGUGACUGGCAGAUGCGUGGAGAAUACGGCUUUGUGUAUCCUGUGAGACUUACGUCCACCAGUCAAGUUCUCUGCCGUUAACCCAGUGUCGAGUGCGUGCCAGGCAUUAAAGACUAUUCCAACUGGCCCACCAUCCCGCAGGUGUACCUCAACGGCGAGUUCGUGGGGGGCUGUGACAUCCUUCUGCAGAUGCACCAGAACGGGGACCUGGUGGAAGAACUGAGAAAGCUGGGCAUCCGCUCCGCCCUUUUAGAUGAGAAGAAAGACCAAGACUCCAAGUGAGGGCGGCGCGGGUCGCCCUGAGCUCGACGCUCGGGAGCCCUGGGCUCAGAGACUCACUGCCAGAGAAGCCUUAGCGAUUUGGGUUUCACUGUCCCGACGGCUGCCUGCGCCGAUGCCUGCGGCGUGAGCGGUCGGCGAUCUCAGUGUGUCUGCUGUCGGGCUGAGAAUAUUCCAUUGUGAACUGAAUUAUAAGCACUGCGCUGUAGUAACUCAAUGUUGUAUCAUGAUCUUGCUAUAAACAAAAUUUGUUCUUAUAGUGUCCUUUGCUCUUUGCCUGAUUCAGGAGUAAAACUAGGAGCUUUUGAAUCAUCAUUAUUCACGAGUCCUCUGCGAAUGUGUCGGUCUGCAAAGAUGAUAUAUCCACCCAAGUUUUUUAUAACUUGUUCUGUUAAGAAAAAUGAUGGACAAAGAAGAAAAUGUGAUAACUGGGUAUUGUUUUUUAAAAUAAACUGCCAACCCAGGGA